ensembl:lncRNA
CACCGCUAGCCAGCACCUCGCCUAAAUAGGUGUGCGUUUCUUUUUCUUCUAGCUAGUGUGGCUUACCACUUUGCGACUGAGCCGUUGUUGCUCCUAGACGUUUCCACUUCACAAUAACAGCACUUACAGUUGACAGGGGCAGCUCUUGCUGGGCAGAAAUUUGAUUAACUAAAUUGUUGGAAAGGUGGUAUCCUAUGACGGUGCCACGUUGAACGUCACUGAGCUCCUCAGUAAGGCCUUUCUACUUCCAAUGUUUGUCUAUGGAGAUUGCAUGGCUGUGUGCUCGAUUUUAUAUACCUGUCAGCAACGGGUGUGGCUGAAAUAGCCAAUCCACUAGUUUGAAGGGGUGUCCACACAAACACUAUAUAUGGAUGACCGAUAGCACACCUAGCUACAUGUUCAAAUGACAGUGUCCAUUGUUGGGCAAAUCAGAUGUCAACCUCACUCCGAAACGUACAUUCACAUACAGCUGGUGUAAGAAAAAGGAGCUACUUUUCAACUAGUCAAUGUAUAAGUAGUAUAAGCAUGGUACACAGAGGUAACCAGGGUACACAGAGGUAACUAGGGUACACAGAGGUAACUAGGGUACACAGAGGUAACUAGGGUAGACAGAGGUAACUAGGGUAGACAGAGGUAACUAGGGUAGACAGAGGUAACUAGGGUAGACAGAGGUAACUAGGGUAGACAGAGGUAACUAGGGUACACAGAGGUAACUAGGGUACACAGAGGUAACUAGGGUAUACAGAGGUAACCAGGGUACACAGAGGUAACCAGGAUACACAGAGGUAACUAGGGUAGACAGAGGUAACUAGGGUACACAGAGGUAACCAGGAUA